rfam:Lingula anatina scaffold423, whole genome shotgun sequence.
GGUUCUGUAGUGUAGUAGUUAUCACAUUUGCUUCACACGCCGAAGGUCCCAGGAUCGAAACCUGGUAGAACCA